GUUAAAGAAUCUUAAUAAGUUUUAAUAAAUUUUAAUAAAUUUUAAUGAAUCUUAAUAACUUUUAAUGAAAAGGGUCAAUUGAGAGAGAUUUUUAGUAAAAUAUUUUAGUAAUAUAUUUCCAUUAUCUUGGAUGUUUUGUUUUAGAAUGCGCUCCAAUCCAAAAGCAAUAGGUCUGUUUUUUAGCUGAACUUCUUGCACGAUUCAGCAGUCUUCUUUUUCUGUUCAUUGGAGAGAUAAAGAAAAAAAUUCAACUGUGCAACAAGUUCAAUUAAAAAUAAGAGAGCGUUCCCACCGAGCGCGUAACACGUCGCAUCGUUUUUCGCGUCCAAUCAAAACGUCUCAUUUUAUUAUGAUAAAAUAUAAUACAUGUUUUGAAUGAACGCGAAGGACGACGCGACGCAUGACGCGCUCGGUAGGAACGCUUCCUAACGGAUCUAGCACGCUGCCGCGGCACGCGCAGGCGCACGGCUGUAACAUUGGCGUGUCGCGUGCGUGCCACGUGCGACGAAUGCGACGAUCAGUGUUAACUGUGAACCGAGUGUAGUAAGACGUGCGUGUUUAUGAGCAGUGUAAGAAUAAAAAACAAACCUUGGACUUCGUUCUGGGCAGUCGACGUGAUCCGACUCCUCUCUCCUAAUAUACAUUAUUAUAAUUCAAUAUCGUUUAAUCAUCGAGUGAAGACAUAAUCGUCUACAAAUACUUGGCAUUCUUCGGCGCCCGUAUUUCUGAAUAAGUCAAAGAUUCCUCAUUAUCAGAAACUUGUGGGGUUAUUCCGGCACCUGGUAAAGAGAGAUAGGCGUUACAAUUUCGCCCGUCACGGUACAGCCAUAUUAGAGGAGUUUGCUGUGUGCUUAUUGCGUAGUUACUUGUAACAAUAUCGAAGAAAAUCCUAAUUGAAUCGCGCCCAUAUAACCUAAGAGGUGAGUUUUCCACGGUAACGUAGCUCAACAAGUUAUCUGUCCUUUAUUUUAAUAAUAUUAAUCUUCUUAUAUUCGGAUAUAUUGCGUAGUUACUUGUAUACCACGAGGAUCGCUAUUCAAUAAACUGUUGGCCUAUGAAAAGAUAUUAUUUUCAACAAUACCAAAGAAAAUUCCAAUUAAGUUGCCCAUAUAACCAAAGAGUUACUUGUAUACCACGAGGAUCGCUAUUCAAUAAACUGUUGGCCUAUGAAAAGAGAUUAUUUUCAACAAUACCAAAGAAAAUUCCAAUUGAGUUGCCCAUAUAACAAACUCGCCAAUUUCAAAGUUCCGAAGAAAUUGAAACUAUUGACAUUUGGUGUAAUCUUCCACUGAAAGAUGAAAGGAGUCUACAAGAAUUAGAAAUUAAGCUUAAGGAGAACGAAAAUUAUAGGAAAAAAAUGAUUAAAGAGUUUGCAAAUUUAGGAGGCCAAAAUGUGAAAACUUCAGCUUUAAAACUAAUGCGGAAAAUAUUUACAAACGAACUCGCCGUUCAAUAUAGCUGGGUCGGAGGCAAAAAGAAAAAUAUUUUUGUGGACUUAAUGAUAUGCAAAGUUAUACUUAGUGCGUUGAGAAAACAUUAUCAAAAUUCUACGGAGGAAGAACUGUCAGCUCCGAUAAAAAUUUGGCUCGCUCACGCCAAAGAGCGAUGUUCAAAAGCUACGCUUAACACGCAGAAUUAAUUUUGUUUUUCGCAAUUUUUUUGUUGCGCUGUUUCCAAAGUGUAUACUCCCGAGAAAACUGUAUUCUCAGGGAAUUUUAUUAUUUUAUAUAAGUUAUAUAAAAUAAUAAAAUUUCUCCUAUAUUUUAUAU
rnacentral:lncRNA from 1 species